rnacentral:rRNA from 1 species
GUUCCUGGCUCAGGAUGAACGCUGGCGGCAUGCCUAAUACAUGCAAGUCGAACGAGAGGAAGGAAAGCUUGCUUUUCUGAAUCUAGUGGCGAACGGGUGAGUAACACGUAGGUAACCUGCCCAUGUGCCCGGGAUAACUUCUGGAAACGGAUGCUAAAACCGGAUAGGUAGCAGACAAGCAUUUGACUGCUAUUAAAGUGGCCUUGGCCAUGAACAUGGAUGGACCUGCGGUGCAUUAG